rnacentral:tRNA from 1 species
CAAACUAAAUCUAUAAGUAGAGGUUAUUAUUUACAUUAAUAAUGAGAAUGUUCAAUUCAUUCUAGUUUGA